rnacentral:rRNA from 1 species
CUCUUCGGUUAAUACCCGGAGACGAUGACAUUAGCUGCAGAAUAAGCACCGGCUAACUCUGUGCCAGCAGCCGCGGUAAUACAGAGGGUGCAAGCGUUAAUCGGAAUUACUGGGCGUAAAGCGAGUGUAGGUGGCUUGAUAAGUCAGAUGUGAAAUCCCCGGGCUUAACCUGGGAACUGCAUCUGAAACUGUUAGGCUAGAGUAGGUGAGAGGGAAGUAGAAUUUCAGGUGUAGCGGUGAAAUGCGUAGAGAUCUGAAGGAAUACCGAUGGCGAAGGCAGCUUCCUGGCAUCAUACUGACACUGAGGCUCGAAAGCGUGGGUAGCAAACAGGAUUAGAUACCCUGGUAGUCCACGCCGUAAACGAUGUC